rnacentral:rRNA from 1 species
CGCCAGCAGCCGCGGUAAUACAGAGGUCCCGAGCGUUGUUCGGAUUUACUGGGCGUAAAGGGUGCGUAGGCGGUUGGGAAAGUCUGAUGUGAAAGCCCCGGGCCCAACCCGGGAAUGGCAUUAGAAACUACCUGACUAGAGGGUUGGAGGGGGGACUGGAAUUCCCGGUGUAGCAGUGAAAUGCGUAGAUAUCGGGAGGAACGCCAGUGGCGAAGGCGAGUCCCUGGACAACCCCUGACGCUGAGGCACGAAAGCUAGGGGAGCAAACAGGAUUAGAUACCCUGGUAGUCCUAGCCGUAAACGGUGCACGUUUGCUGUGGGCGGAAUCGACCCCGUCCGUGGCGGAGCUAACGCGUUAAACGUGCCGCCUGGGGAGUACGGUCGCAAGAUUAAAACUUAAAGAAAUUGACGG